rnacentral:lncRNA from 1 species
AUACUCACCUUGCUCUUGGGGGACUGAGGAGAGGGAUGAAUCACAAUGAACCUGAACUUGCCCCUUCUGGCAACAGGAGAGGAGUCAGUCUGGAGGGCACAGGGCAAGGAAGAUGCUCCUUGCCAAAGUGAAGUCCCUGGGUUAGAGGGCCCUCCUCACAGGAUCUUCUCUGGGCCCCACCUUGAGGGCCCAGAGGGCUGGAAAGUGGUGAGCACCAUCGAGGGAGAGGCCAGGUAUGCUCUGGGGUCAUACCAAUUUACCGGUUCAGGGGUCAGAACCAGAAGGGCUUUCCCAUGAUCGUCGCCAGAACUUCCCUGCUGUGCAAGUUACCAAUAAUGGAAAAAGAAGGCACCUGGGGCUGAUUCCAAAAUUCCAACCUGUGUCUUCUCGGUACCCUGACCCAAGGAAAUACAGUUUCUUCCCAAGAAGGCAGGAGCAGAAAACAUCCCAAGACCAGUGGGGCUUUUCUCCAGAUGGGGAUGUGUGCCUCUCCCCGAACAUCGAGCUGGGGUCCCUGACCCCAGCAGGGCAGGGCUCCAGGAGAAAUCUGGCUGUCCACUACUUUCCUGACUUCACACAGCAGGUCCAACAAAAGCAGGAGAAUCUGAAGCCCAAGGUCUUAUCAUUCUGGGGACAGGUCAACAAUUUCCAGGGUGGAAACCCAGCCCAUGAUUUCCCAAGGACAAAGACCUGGGCCACUAGUGAGAGAGAGGGUCCCCAGUGGAGCGUAGGCUGGGGAGCAAAGGACUCCCCGAGCCCAGUCCUGGGAGAGUUACUCCCCAACAGGCCUAACGUCUUGCGGGAACCAACAGAGAAGGCCAGCAGAAACCUUCUACAACAGUCGACCUCCGCGUUUCCCUCCUUAAGACCUAGCUCCUCAGUCUGCCGCUAUUACCCACCUUGCUGUUCUAUUUGCUCUGCUUCUCCAGAAGUCUGACAUAUCCUUUUUUCAGCUUCAAGAAUAGAAAAUACAGAGGCAGGAGGAGAAGCAAGGGGCUUAGCUAAUGCCUACAAGAGGAGUAAUUCAGGACAUGUGGCCAAAAAACAGGCAAACGGUGAAACUUAAACCAGCUCUUAUCAGCAGCUGCUCGGAUGACACAUCGGGGCCCCAGAAACGGUUCCACCCAUUUCGGGUGCGCUUUGCAGACGAAAGCCCCAAGGACAUGGCAUUGCGAUACUGGGAGAGGAACUAUGACGUUCAGAGGAGCCUCCUCAAGAGCCCAGUACCCUAUAAGUCUCCAGAAGUUAUUCCAGGGAAAUUGGGGAUUUGGAUGGAGAAAAUCCCAAGGAAUGGACUUCAGCAGACGAACCUGUGGCGAGAUGAAUUCAUUCGUCCUGGGAGAAUGGAUAACAUACCCAUGUCAUUGCAAGAACUGCCUACUGAUAACCUAAAGAAGAGUCCCACCUACAGCUCUCUGCACACCAGCCCAUUGGCCAUUCUUGACUUCUCUGGUACCAGGACAUUCCAGGACCAGGGCACAGAUCCCCUUAAGAAGAACCCCAUCUACAACUCUCUGCACACCAGCACCUCAAAUAAUAUUGAUUUUUCUGGCACCAGGUCAUUCCAAGACCUUCCCGCCGAUUCCCCUAAGAAGAGUCCUACGUUCGGCAAUCUAUACAACAGUACACUGGCUAACAUUGACUUCUCUAAUUCUAGGCCGUUCCAGGAUCUCUGUAUCGAUCCUGCUAAACAUACCUCUUUGUACACCACCCCAGUAAUCAACACUGAUAGGCCACGAAGCCGGACCCUCAACACUGGAGUCUCCUCAUUGAAUGAGAACUCUCCUUCCUUGUGGGCUCCUAGAAUGGAUACUUUUGUACCUCACUUGAUGUCAUCUAAUCGGAAGGGAGGACAGACAGGACCUUACCAGUUUUUUCCUCCACUCACCCCACUUCGGACUCAAAGCACCAACCAAGGCAGCUCUGAGUCUCCCCGAUAGCCAGCUAGCCAGAAUGGCUCCUGAAGAACGAGACAAUAUGAAGAACAACGUGGCAAAUCCAGGGACACAGGGGUGGAGAGAAGAAAGGGACAAUUUCAGCAACUCCCUCUGCCCCCUUUCCCCUUACACUCUCUCUCUCCCCCCAAAUAAAAUUAACUAAAAACAGACACACAACCAACCAAUAGCUCAUAGGCUAUGAAGCCUUUCCAGAAACCAAGAGCCAAAUGUCUUCACUGAAGACAUAUUUCAACUCCAUGGAAGGCCUUCUCCCCUCUGACUUUGCUCAGGGUCAUAUGGUUUAAGAGUCCACUGAGGAAGAACUCUCCAACUCUCCAGCCUGUCGCCCUCCCUGAGCUAACAAGCCAGCCCUAACAUCAAUUAUAGCUCACAUACCUGUAAUAAUUUAGGGUUUACAAAGCACUUUCCCCACAAAUAAAAUAGUGGAAAGGG